rnacentral:rRNA from 1 species
GACGAACGCUGGCGGCGUGCCUAAUACAUGCCAGUAGAACGCUGAAGGAGGAGCUUGCUUCUCUGGAUGAGUUGCGAACGGGUGAGUAACGCGUAGGUAACCUGCCUGGUAGCGGGGGAUAACUAUUGGAAACGAUAGCUAAUACCGCAUAAGAGUAGAUGUCGCAUGACAUUUGCUUAAAAGGUGCAAUUGCAUCACUACCAGAUGGACCUGCGUUGUAUUAGCUAGUUGGUGAGGUAACGGCUCACCAAGGCAACGAUACAUAGCCGACCUGAGAGGGUGAUCGGCCACACUGGGACUGAGACACGGCCCAGACUCCUACGGGAGGCAGCAGUAGGGAAUCUUCGGCAAUGGACGGAAGUCUGACCGAGCAACGCCGCGUGAGUGAAGAAGGGUUUCGGAUCGUAAAGCUCUGUUGUAAGAGAAGAACGAGUGUGAGAGUGGAAAGUUCACACUGUGACGGUAUCUUACCAGAAAGGGACGGCUAACUACGUG